AGAGAUGCACUGGGUAUAAAGCGUGCGCAGGCGGUUUUGUAAGACAGAGGUGAAAUCCCCGGGCUCAACCUGGGAACUGCCUUUGUGACUGCAAGGCUGGAGUGCGGCAGAGGGGGAUGGAAUUCCGCGUGUAGCAGUGAAAUGCGUAGAUAUGCGGAGGAACACCGAUGGCGAAGGCAAUCCCCUGGGCCUGCACUGACGCUCAUGCACGAAAGCGUGGGGAGCAAACA
rnacentral:rRNA from 1 species